rnacentral:rRNA from 1 species
AUUGAACGCUGGCGGAAUGCUUUACACAUGCAAGUCGAACGGUAACAGGGUGCUUGCACCGCUGACGAGUGGCGAACGGGUGAGUAAUGCGUCGGAACGUGCCGGGUAGUGGGGGAUAACGCAGCGAAAGUUGUGCUAAUACCGCAUACGUACUGAGGUAGAAAGUGGGGGACCUUCGGGCCUCACGCUAUUCGAGCGGCCGACGUCUGAUUAGCUAGUAGGUGAGGUAAAGGCUCACCUAGGCGACGAUCAGUAGCGGGUCUGAGAGGAUGAACCGCCACACUGGGACUGAGACACGGCCCAGACUCCUACGGGAGGCAGCAGUGGGGAAUUUUGGACAAUGGGCGAAAGCCUGAUCCAGCCAUGCCGCGUGUCUGAAGAAGGCCUUCGGGUUGUAAAGGACUUUUGUCAGGGAGGAAAUCCCUAGUGCUAAUAACACUGGGGGAUGACAGUACCUGAAGAAUAAGCACCGGCUAACUACGUGCCAGCAGCCGCCGUAA